rnacentral:lncRNA from 1 species
AUGUGGCAGCCCCUGGAGCUGCACAUGCAGCUGUGGGGUCCUCCAACCUAUCCCUGUGUUGGCUGCAGGCUGAGGGAGGCAAGGACUGGGCACAAGUGCACAAGGCCAGGUGGGCUUUCUAUGGCAUUAUCGGUUUUUGUACCGCUAACCUUGAGGUACUUAUGCUUUAGCUCCUUAAAGGCUACAGCAGGAACCGCCCUCCUCACUUUCUCUGGCUUUCUUCCUCCAUCUUCCUCUUGGACUCCUGGAGUGCCUGUGACUCCUCGGGGCUUCAGUUUCCCGGUCUGGAGUCAGGCUAGAGGGUCCCAGGCACCCCUGACUUCUCGGCCCCAGUUUCCUGUUGCAAAGGAUCGUUUCCCCUUAGCCCCAGGGGAUGCCAAUGGGCUUGCCUCUACUCCCAGAAGAGGUAAACAGAUGACUCAGCCACUCUGUGGACAAAUCUACCUGGCGUCGUGGGUCUCCUGGGCCUUCCACCCGCAGGCUCCCAGAAGAUGCCCUUCUGCAAAGACUCUCAGCUGAGCCCAAACCUGGAAGCUGUCCCCCUGGCCUCAAGUUUUAUGGGCAAGGCUCACCUUCUGGGUUACAGGGGCCUGAGUAGCUUUUUUGGGAAACUUCUCUACAGAGUCACAGACUAAAAAUCCCAUUUCAGGAAUUGUUUCUCUGACACUUUUCAAACAGAGAUCCUAUCCCUUUUAUAAGAUGAUGGUAGAUUUAAGGAAAAUAAACACCCCUUUAAAAAGAAGAAUUUAUUUGGAUCUACUGUCCCUGAGACCCAGAAUGGCUCUUAAUUUUAGGAGGCAUGCAACUUUAAUUACCUCUGAGUAUGCAGCAAGAGGUGGCCCACAGAACUGGGUGUGACAGCCAGGUACAUUCGAGGAAGCGAGAUGUCUCAAGCAGCUGCUGACGCUGCUCUGCCUGUGAAAAACGUAGGCUCCAAUUCAAAGGUAUCAAAUAUUUGCCUAGCUGUUCAACAUUUCUUCAAAUAAUAUACUCACUACUAAUUCAUAUCUAGACUCGACGUCUUCAUCUCUCUCAGGCCUCCCUCCUGGAUUAGCUGUCUUGUC